GGCUUAGAGUUUGAUCAUGGCUCAGGAUAAACGCUGGCGGCGCACAUAAGACAUGCAAGUCGAACGAACUUAACCAUUAGUUUACUAUUGGAGCGGUUAGUGGCGGACUGGUGAGUAACACGUAAGCAACCUGCCUGUUAGAGGGGAACAACAGUUAGAAAUGACUGCUAAUACCGCAUAUGCCAUAUUGAGGACAUCCUCGAAGUGGGAAAGGAGAAAUCCGCUAACAGAUGGGCUUGCGUCUGAUUAGCUAGUUGGUGUGGUAACGGCAUACCAAGGCAACGAUCAGUAGCCGGACUGAGAGGUUGAACGGCCACAUUGGGACUGAGAUACGGCCCAGACUCCUACGGGAGGCAGCAGUCGGGAAUAUUGCGCAAUGGAGGAAACUCUGACGCAGUGACGUCGCGUGCAGGAGGAAGGUUUUCGGAUUGUAAACUGCUUCAGACAGGGAAGAAAAAGGACAGUACCUGUAGAAUAAGCUCCGGCUAACUACGUGCCAGCAGCCGCGGUAAUACGUAGGGAGCAAGCGUUAUCCGGAUUUAUUGGGUGUAAAGGGUGCGUAGACGGGAAAUUAAGUUAGUUGUGAAAUCCCUCGGCUCAACUGAGGAACUGCAACUAAAACUGAUAUUCUUGAGUGCUGGAGAGGCAGAUGGAAUUAAGCC
rnacentral:rRNA from 1 species